GGGGGUGUAGCUCAUAUGUAGAGCGCUCGCUUCGCAUGCGAGAGGCACGGGUUCGAUUCCCCGCACCUCCA
rnacentral:tRNA from 1 species